AUGCAGUCGAACGGAGUCAGAGGAGCUUGCUUUUCUUGACUUAGUGGCGAACGGGUGAGUAACGCGUGAGUAACCUGCCCUGGAGUGGGGGACAACAGUUGGAAACGACUGCUAAUACCGCAUAAGCCCACGAUCCGGCAUCGGAUUGAGGGAAAAGGAUUUAUUCGCUUCAGGAUGGACUCGCGUCCAAUUAGCUAGUUGGUGAGGUAACGGCCCACCAAGGCGACGAUUGGUAGCCGGACUGAGAGGUUGAACGGCCACAUUGGGACUGAGACACGGCCCAGACUCCUACGGGAGGCAGCAGUGGGGGAUAUUGCACAAUGGGGGAAACCCUGAUGCAGCGACGCCGCGUGGAGGAAGAAGGUUUUCGGAUUGUAAACUCCUGUCGUUAGGGACGAUAAUGACGGUACCUAACAAGAAAGCACCGGCUAACUACGUGCCAGCAGCCGCGGUAAAACGUAGGGUGCAAGCGUUGUCCGGAAUUACUGGGUGUAAAGGGAGCGCAGGCGGACCGGCAAGUUGGAAGUGAAAACUAUGGGCUCAACCCAUAAAUUGCUUUCAAAACUGCUGGCCUUGAGUAGUGCAGAGGUAGGUGGAAUUCCCGGUGUAGCGGUGGAAUGCGUAGAUAUCGGGAGGAACACCAGUGGCG
rnacentral:rRNA from 1 species